rfam:TPA: Bos taurus chromosome 5, whole genome shotgun sequence.
GUCUAUGGCCAUACCACCCUGAACACGCCCGAUCUCGUCUGAUCUCAGAAGCUAAGCAGGGUCGGGCCUGGUUAGUAUUCGGAUGGAAGAUACCACCAACAGCACCUGGCACCAGGAAGG